ACUUCACCUGUUCCCUACUGGUGGUGGUCAGAGGGCCCGGUGGCGCCAGUGUGCCCGGUGUCCUUAGGGACUAGUAAAGCGCUAUACAAAUACAGGCCAAAAAGCAAAACCCAUCUAAACCGUGGUCUAAUGUAUACUUUAAAACGCACAAAGCAUUCUUGUGUCCUAAAAUAAAAUUUCAUGACUACAAUCUUUAAACAACAAGUAAACCGGAGUUUUUUUUUUUCUUUAUUUAUUUAAGUAGUCUUCAGGAAUAGUUCUGAAUGAUUUUUUUUUUAAAACGGCUGAAAAGUGAAGAUAUUUAGGCAUAUCACUGGUGGUUGGGGGGUUGUACCCAAUGCUGAAUACAGGAAAAAUAAGAUAUGACCACUAUGUCAAGUUGAUAUUCUGUGCUCACCGACUGUCAUCCAAUCCUCAAAUCAGAUGGUGCUCUCCUUGCCAGGGAACAGCUGGACCUGAACCACAGCUUCUAGGGACACUGGAAGUACCUACACUAUAACAUACUUUGUACUUAUGUUAUACAACUUAAACAACAUAGUUUUAUCAAUGAUUUUUUUGUUUUAACCUCACACUCAUUUACUUUCCUCUCUGUGGGAGAAAAGGGUCCAUCCAAUAUCUCAAAAAAAGUGCAAAGGUAGACAGCAUAGUAUGGUAAACAAUAUAUAUUUUAUUCUAGAUAUCUAUAUAUUUUUCAUAGCUGCUUUUAUUAUUAUAUUAUCAUGAUCAGAAACUAAUCCCACAAUAUCAUUUGCAUUGGUAAGUUAAACUGCAUAAAGAAAUUAUUAUUUACAAUGCUGCAGUCUGUUCCAUGCAGCUACAUUUCCAAUAGAAUUCACUGGAGAGCAACCUGUUGAAAUGAUCCCAUAUCCAUCCAUCAGUCUACCCAUCCAUCCAUCUUCUUCUCCUUAUUUGGGGCCAGGUUGCAGGGGCAGCAGCCUAAGGAGAGAAGCCUUGACCUCCCUCUCACCAGUCUUCUCCUCCAGCUUAUCCCAAGGAACACCAAGGCAUUCGCAGGCCAGCCACCCUUCAGAGAAAGCUAAUUUCUGCCUCUUGUAUCUGUGAUCUCAAUCUUUUGGUCACUACCCAAAGCUCAGGACCAUAGGUGAGGCAUUCAUCAACAAGACUCUGAGCUGCUUAAACUCCUCCACUUGGGACCGUAACUCAUCCCUGACCCGGAGUGGGCACAACAUCCUUUUCCAGCUGAGGAUCAUGGCCUCAGACUUGGAGCCGAUUCUCAUUCCUGCCACUUUACACUCGGCUGCGAACUGCUACAGUGCGAGCUGGAGGUCGCUGCCUUACUAUACCUUUAGGCGCCCCAAGUCUGUCCAGCAUCCUCCCCCGCCACAUGACUUGGAUCAGGCUGUUCCUCCCAAUCACGCGCCUGCGGGUCUCACUGUUGUUGCUCACAUGAGCGUUGAAGUCUCCCAGUAAGACGACAGCAUCCUCAGGCACACCACCUAGAGGCUCCAAGAAGGCCAGGUACUCUGAACCAUCGUUUGGUGCACGGGCGCAGACGACAGCCAGGAUCCAUUCUCCA